UACGGAGGGGGCUAGCGUUGUUCGGAAUUACUGGGCGUAAAGCGCGCGUAGGCGGCUUUGUACGUUAGAGGUGAAAGCCCGGAGCUCAACUCCGGAACUGCCUUUAAGACUGCAUCGCUAGAAUCAUGGAGAGGUGAGUGGAAUUCCGAGUGUAGAGGUGAAAUUCGUAGAUAUUCGGAAGAACACCAGUGGCGAAGGCGGCGAUCUGGGUAGAUACUGACGCUGAGGUGCGAAAGCGUGGGGAGCAAACAGG
rnacentral:rRNA from 1 species